GGGCGAAACCAGCGCAUGCGCAGUUUCUGGUUGGCAAGUUACUUUAUAAAAUGUCGCCUGACAGUACAUGGAGACUUUGGGCUUACAACUUAACAAGUCGCUAUAGAGAAUCGUACAGUAAUUUCGUGAAGAAUUUCAGAUUCAGUAUGUAGUCAGCUAUGACAGUUGUGAGUGCUUGGGUUGUGAUUAAAACAACUGGAUAUGUGGUUCUGCGCAACUGUGUGUAUGCAUGGCAGCCUUGGAGAAGCGUGUAGUCUAUAUUGCGGCAAUACUGUUCAAGUUGGAGGCAGCAAAUCGGCUGGAGUAUACGACCCAGGCCUGCACUGAGAAAGCAUCCAUAUGGAACCAAGAUUUUCUCAAAGGAACAGGGCUCGAACCAUGUACUGUCAAAGAUCUUCAUUUUGUUAGGAUUCGAGUACUUU